rnacentral:rRNA from 1 species
GACGAACGCUGGCGGCGUGCUUAACACAUGCAAGUCGAACGGAAAGGCCCUGCUUUUGUGGGGUGCUCGAGUGGCGAGCGGGUGAGUAACACGUGAGUAACCUGCCCUUGACUUUGGGAUAACUUCAGGAAACUGGGGCUAAUACCGGAUAGGAGCUCCUGCUGCAUGGUGGGGGUUGGAAAGUUUCGGCGGUUGGGGAUGGACUCGCGGCUUAUCAGCUUGUUGGUGGGGUAGUGGCUUACCAAGGCUUUGACGGGUAGCCGGCCUGAGAGGGUGACCGGCCACAAUGGGACUGAGAUACGGCCCAGACUCCUACGGGAGGCAGCAGUGGGGAAUAUUGCACAAUGGGCGGAAGCCUGAUGCAGCAACGCCGCGUGCGGGAUGACGGCCUUCGGGUUGUAAACCGCUUUCGCCUGUGACGAAGCGUGAGUGACGGUAAUGGGUAAAGAAGCACCGGCUAACUACGUG